CGAGCAUAAGAGUAGCAAUACUUGGUGGCGACCGGCGCACGGUGAGUAACGCGUAUGCAACCUACCUAUCAGAGGGGAAGUAACCCGGCGAAAGUCGGACUAAUACCGACAUAAAACAGGGCACCGCAUGGUGAUAUUUGUUAAAGAAAUUCGCUGAUAGAUGGGCAUGCGUUCCAUUAGGUAGUUGGUGAGGUAACGGCUCACCAAGCCGACGAUGGAUAGGGGAACUGAGAGGUUGGUCCCCCACACUGGUACUGAGACACGGACCAGACUCCUACGGGAGGCAGCAGUGAGGAAUAUUGGUCAAUGGGCGGGAGCCUGAACCAGCCAAGUCGCGUGAAGGAAGAAGGAUCUAUGGUUCGUAAACUUCUUUUGCAGGGGAAUAAAGUGCAGGACGUGUCCUGUUUUGUAUGUACCCUGAGAAUAAGGAUCGGCUAACUCCGUGCCAGCCGCCGC
rnacentral:rRNA from 1 species